UAAUACAGAGGUCUCAAGCGUUGUUCGGAAUCACUGGGCGUAAAGGGUGCGUAGGUGGCGUUGUAAGUCAGAUGUGAAAGCCCGGGGCUCAACCUCGGAACUGCAUCCGAUACUGCAAUGCUAGAGAAAUGGAGAGGAGUCUAGAAUUCACAGUGUAGCAGUGAAAUGCGUAGAUAUUGUGAGGAAUACCAAAGGCGAAGGCAGGACUCUGGACAUUUUCUGACACUGAGGCACGAAGGCUAGGGGAGCGAACGGG
rnacentral:rRNA from 1 species